GUGAGGAAUAUUGGUCAAUGGGCGGGAGCCUGAACCAGCCAAGUCGCGUGAAGGAAGAAGGAUCUAUGGUUCGUAAACUUCUUUUGCAGGGGAAUAAAGUGCGGGACGUGUCCUGUUUUGUAUGUACCCUGAGAAUAAGGAUGGGCUAACUCCGUGCCAGCAGCCGCGGUAAUACGGAGGAUCCGAGCGUUAUCCGGAUUUAUUGGGUUUAAAGGGUGCGUAGGUGGUUUGAUAAGUCAGCGGUGAAAGUUUGCAGCUUAACUGUAAAAAUGCCGUUGAAACUGUCGGGCUUGAGUGUAAAUGAGGUAGGCGGAAUGCGUGGUGUAGCGGUGAAAUGCAUAGAUGUCACGCAGAACUCCGAUUGCGAAGGCAGCUUACUAAGCUACAACUGACACUGAAGCACGAAAGCGUGGGGAUCAAACAGGAUUAGAUACCCGAGUAGUCC
rnacentral:rRNA from 1 species